rnacentral:lncRNA from 1 species
GAAAGGCAAGGCAGGUUCACUACCAAUGUGUAUAAUGUAGUCAAAGCAGCCAUGAUUUUCUACAGAGAUCAGCCAGGACAACAAUGGUAGUAAUAAUAGUAGUAAUAGUAGUAGUAGUCCAGACGAAUCUCACCAGCAAUGGCAGGUGAAGGAAUGAAAACUUCUUGUUAGAAGAAUUGGUAUCUGUUCAUCUUAAGACCGCUUCAUGCACAAA